GGUAACAUGUUAUUUCAAUGAAUGACCAAUAUAAUUAAUAUAAGAUGUAUUUAAUUUUGGCCAUAUUAUUUAUUUAAAUUUUCAGUUUAAUUAUGAUAAUGUUAUGUACAGAUUGCAAUUCAAGUAGUGAAGGUGAACACCAAGACACAUGAUGCAGAAAUGCAGGAUCAGUAAAAAUAUGCAUGGACAAACCAAUACUGGCAACAAUAAAAUUGCAUCAACCACAGAAGCAACAGGCAAAAUGUCAGAAGCAAGUGGAAUUCAAAUGAAACAUUUAAACAUAGGCCUCCAGACAAGGGUGAAAUCAUCAAAGAACACACAGUCACUCAAUUAGAUUUAGAAAUUGUACUAUGAAUGACUUUUGAGAGUCUGUUAAGAGCUGUUGUUUUUGUUUUGGCUCUUGGUUCAAUGUUUUCAUUUUGGCUCUUGUUUCAAUGUUUUCAUUAUUUUGUAAUGAUUUUAUUCUGGGAAAUGCUUCUAUAUAGCAGCUGGCAGAGCACUUAGAAAUGGUUCAACAAACAUGGAUGUCCUGCUUGCUUUGGGAACUACAACAUCCUAUAUUUAUUCUGUUUGUGCUCUUCUGUAUGGUGCCUUUACUGGAUUUUGGUCUCCAAUAUA